UGUUCUCGUCGCCUUCCUCCUCGUCUCGACGCCAAACCUUAUCCAGGAGCUAGCCCGUGCUCGACUGCAUUGGCCUGAGUCGCUGUCCUGCCCUGCCUCGCUGCCGUCACCUCGCCGUUGAGCUCCCCGUGACGCGUCCGUCCUCUGCUCCGUUUUGGCAUGUCGGCCGAGCUCUCAAGAGCGUCCGCGAGCCCUCCCCUCGGCCUAUAUAAGGACCCCCCGAGGUGUUCCGCAGCUCCCAAGCCUCUCCCCGUUCCUCAUUUGCCCCCGGAGUCCCCUAAUCUCGCCGGAGUUGGCCGUCGUCCACCAUGGCCGCCUCGGCCUCGGCUUGAUUCCGGCCAAAUCGAGCCUCCUCUCCUCCUCCUACCACGUCCACCGGGUCCCCCUCGUUCCACUCAGCCGCCCCACCCCCUUGCCCUCUCGCCGGAGUCGCCUGUUUCGCCAGAACACCACCUCGGCUGCCGCCCCUGGCCUCCUCUGGCGCCGCCUCUCCCGUCCACCUCACUCCUCCCCGGCGGCCGUGUCUCCCCUAAACGGAGGCGCCUCGGUCCCUCGCACCCGCCGGUGGCCUCGGCUCGGCCGGAGAUGGCCUGAGCUAGCCGGCCCCUUGGCCAUUUCCCUCCCCUGCCUCUGCUCUGUCUCACGGGAGAACAGGCGAGCGAGAGGAAGGAGACGACCGAGCCUGGCCCCUCCCCCUGCGGCUAGACCCCACCUAAAACGUAAUCCGCCCGAAGGCGCUAUCCAUUUUCAGCCGCCAGGGACCUGUUUGUGAGGAUUUUUAUCACAGAUUAGUCCCUAAUCUUCUACACCUCAUAACUUCGCGACCGUAACUCCGAUUGAGCCCCUCCGAAAGAGAACCGUCCGGCGUUUCGUUCCGCGGCUUCACCGCACUUUUUCCCGGGGUCUCCGUCAUCCGAGGCAAGCCACAACCACCAUUUGCAUGAUAGCCAUGCAGUAGCAUUGGUUUUCAACUUGAAUCUUUAAUAACUGUUUGUUUGUUUUGCUACUGCUGUCGUUAUUUCGGUUAUGCUUAUGGAUCGGUGUUUACCGUCAUGCUAUGCUUUCUUGCACUCCGUUAUCAUGUUCUACUUGCUAGUAUUUCUGUCGUAUGUCAUGCUUGGUAGUAGUACCUGUUGGUAUUGGUAACAUUCUUCGUUGCAUGACUUUGGUCGGUUACCGAGUAUCGUUUGUAUGCAUUGUUCCUUUGCUGUUAGUUGGUUAAGGGCUUACUUGGUAUUGUUCUUGCUAUGUUCUUCCAUGGUAUUUAUUCAUGAUGCUAGUGGUCGGGUUAUGCUAUGAGUAGUGUUAUACUUGUGAUAUUCAUGCUCGUCAUUGUGCCAUGCUUAGUGGGAUAUGAUUCAUGGUUAUUAAUCUGGUUAAUAGUUAUGUUGCACCCCAUGCGUAUGUUGAUAUCAUGCUCAUGCAUCGUACUUGCAUCAUGUUAUUUUCAUAUGACUCAGCUUAUUGCAUUCAAGUUUAAUCGGAUAAUAAUCAAACUUGAACACCUGUUGGCUAAGUCAUAGUGCCAUCGAAUUGAGCUGACCAGUGCAGCCACACUUGCCUUUAUGGGAGGGUCCUAACUGGGUCUAUUGUCAUGCCUCUCGCCGGUGCCUCCAACGAGGAAAGGUUAUGCGCGGGCGCUACCUUGGCCGGGUAGGACGGCAUAAGCCUUGUGUGCCCAUGUUUGGUUUUGAGCUCAUGUCCCCGUUUG